rnacentral:misc_RNA from 1 species
CUUCAAGGGACUUGUAUGGUCCAUUAGCUGAAACUAGUUCUUCUUUAGGCUGUAAUCUUUGUUGUGGGAUUUGAUUAAUCUUGUCAUGAUCAUCCUUCAAUAGUGCCCAAUCAAAGAUGUUCAUAUUCUCCUUCAGUCUUUCUUUCCUAAAGCUCUUAACUACAAAACUUGUUCCUUGCUCAUACGCCCAUCGCAGACAAACCUGAGCAACAGUCUUGCCACGAGUCUUUGCAAUCUCAUUUAGUACUUCAUUGUCCAUGACUAAACUGCUGCCCCAGCGAGUCCCCUUUGCUCCUAGAGGAGAGUAAGCAGUUACUAUGAUGUCAUUAGCCUUGCAGAAUUCUCUAAGCUUCUUCUGUUGCCAGAGAGGGCUCAUCUCCACCUACAGAACUCACCAUCCAUUUCUGGGUUUUCAAUACUGCAUAAUAUAGCAAAUUGACACAUAAUUUAAGAGAAAUGAAAAUAAAAAAAAAAUACUUGAUUUACUGCAGGAGGGAUAUUAGCGAAGGCAAGUAAGUGUUCAAGCUUCUUGCAAGAAAAGUUGCUGACUCCAAUGGCCUUUGUAAGGCCAAGCUGUUGGCACUCUUCCAUGGCUGCCCACACAGACUUGAAGUCCAUUGGCAGAAGCUCGUCCUUAGGCACUGGGAACAUCAAUCUUCCAGGCUUAAAACUGAUGGGCCAGUGGAUCAAAUAAAGGUCUAGAUACUCCAGUUGAAGAGUCCUGUGCACAAUUAGUUCUAUACAUAAUCUAGACUAGUUAUCAGGACAAGCAUAGGCAAAUAAAAGCUGAAAUUAUGGGUUUAUUUUGCAGUGAGCCAAAACCAAUUCAAUUUUAAAGGGGUUGAUUCCUCACAACUCGCAAGCCUAUCAAUUACUCAAUCCAUUUUUUAAUCAGCAAAUAUCGAUUAAGAUCAAAAGGUUACCAAAUCUGGUAAGUUAUGCAGCAAAAUUUAUAGUGCUCAAGUUGCUUAUAUGGUAAUGUACAGUAAUAGACAGAAAAAAAAAAUGGUAGGAUCUCUUUCUUGCCUGAGGGAAUUCUUUAGAGCAGGCAUGACAAGAUCGCUGUGAGCAUCGCAGCACCAAAGCUUAGAAGUGAUGAAGAGCUCGUCUCGAGAACCAAUAAGGCCAAGUGUAAGCGCUUCAGCUAUGGCUUCUCCCACAGCUUUUUCUGAUCUGUACAGUGGAGAAGUGUCGAAGUGCCUGUAGCCAAUCUUUAUCGCCUCCAGGACCGCCGUCUUCAUCGUGGCUUCAUCGAAGGGGUCCGCCGCUGUCCCCAUGCCUAUUACCGGCAUUUCCCGGUGGCCGUAGUAGGAAGCCAGUGUCAUUUUCGGUGUUUCUGGUGCGUUGUCCAUGUCUUGAAGAGAGAAUCUUGCAAGAUUGGUGUUGGCAGCUGCAGUCUACUGUCUACGCUUCUUUUCUUUUGGCAAGGAUGAGA